GAUGAACGCUGGCGGCGUGCCUAAUACAUGCAAGUCGAGCGAACGGACGAGAAGCUUGCUUUUCUGAUGUUAGCGGCGGACGGGUGAGUAACACGUGGAUAACCUACCUAUAAGACUGGGAUAACUUCGGGAAACCGGAGCUAAUACCGGAUAAUAUUUUGAACCGCAUGGUUCAAAAGUGAAAGACGGUCUUGCUGUCACUUAUAGAUGGAUCCGCGCUGCAUUAGCUAGUUGGUAAGGUAACGGCUUACCAAGGCAACGAUGCAUAGCCGACCUGAGAGGGUGAUCGGCCACACUGGAACUGAGACACGGUCCAGACUCCUACGGGAGGCAGCAGUAGGGAAUCUUCCGCAAAGGGCGAAAGCCUGACGGAGCAACGCCGCGUGAGCGAUGAAGGUCUUCGGAUCGUAAAACUCUGUUAUUAGGGAAGAACAUAUGUGUAAGUAACUGUGCACAUCUUGACGGUACCUAAUCAGAAAGCCACGGCUAACUACGUG
rnacentral:rRNA from 1 species